UACGUAGGGCGCAAGCGUUGUCCGGAAUUAUUGGGCGUAAAGAGCUCGUAGGCGGCUUGUCACGUCGGGUGUGAAAGCCCGGGGCUUAACCCCGGGUCUGCAUUCGAUACGGGCUAGCUAGAGUGUGGUAGGGGGAGAUCGAAUUCCUGGUGUAGCGGUGGAAUGCGCAGAUAUCAGGAGGAACACCAAUAGCGAAGGCAGCUCGCUGGGACGUUACUGACACUGAGGCGCGAAAGCGUGGGGAGCGAACAGG
rnacentral:rRNA from 1 species